rnacentral:rRNA from 1 species
AGUGAACGCUGGCGGUAGGCCUAACACAUGCAAGUCGAACGGCAGCACAGUAAGAGCUUGCUCUUACGGGUGGCGAGUGGCGGACGGGUGAGGAAUACAUCGGAAUCUACUUUUUCGUGGGGGAUAACGUAGGGAAACUUCCGCUAAUACCGCAUAUGACCUACGGGUGAAAGCAGGGGAUCUUCGGACCUUGCGCGAUUGAAUGAGCCGAUGUCGGAUUAGCUAGUUGGCGGGGUAAAGGCCCACCAAGGCGACGAUCCGUAGCUGGUCUGAGAGGAUGAUCAGCCACACUGGAACUGAGACACGGUCCAGACUCCUACGGGAGGCAGCAGUGGGGAAUAUUGGACAAUGGGCGCAAGCCUGAUCCAGCCAUACCGCGUGGGUGAAGAAGGCCUUCGGGUUGUAAAGCCCUUUUGUUGGGAAAGAAAAGCAGCAGGUUAAUACCCCGCUGUUCUGACGGUACCCAAAGAAUAAGCACCGGCUAACUUCGUG